CCUGAUGACCAUAGCGAGUCGGUCCCACCCCUUCCCAUCCCGAACAGGACCGUGAAACGACUCUACGCCGAUGAUAGUGCGGAUUAGAUUGGUUCUGUUGGCC
rnacentral:rRNA from 1 species